UGGCUCAGAUUGAACGCUGGCGGCAGGCCUAACACAUGCAAGUCGAACGGUAGCACAGGGGAGCUUGCUCCUUGGGUGACGAGUGGCGGACGGGUGAGUAAUGUCUGGGAAACUGCCCGAUGGAGGGGGAUAACUACUGGAAACGGUAGCUAAUACCGCAUAACGUCGCAAGACCAAAGAGGGGGACCUUCGGGCCUCUUGCCAUCGGAUGUGCCCAGAUGGGAUUAGCUAGUAGGUGGGGUAACGGCUCACCUAGGCGACGAUCCCUAGCUGGUCUGAGAGGAUGACCAGCCACACUGGAACUGAGACACGGUCCAGACUCCUACGGGAGGCAGCAGUGGGGAAUAUUGCACAAUGGGCGCAAGCCUGAUGCAGCCAUGGCGCGUGUAUGAAGAAGGCCUUCGGGUUGUAAAGUACUUUCAGCGAGGAGGAAGGCGUUGUGGUUAAUAACCGCAGCGAUUGACGUUACUCGCAGAAGAAGCACCGGCUAACUCCGUGCCAGCAGCCGCGGUAAUACGGAGGGUGCAAGCGUUAAUCGGAAUUACUGGGCGUAAAGCGCACGCAGGCGGUCUGUCAAGUCGGAUGUGAAAUCCCCGGGCUCAACCUGGGAACUGCAUCCGAAACUGGCAGGCUAGAGUCUUGUAGAGGGGGGUAGAAUUCCAGGUGUAGCGGUGAAAUGCGUAGAGAUCUGGAGGAAUACCGGUGGCGAAGGCGGCCCCUGGACAAAGACUGACGCUCAGGUGCGAAAGCGUGGGGAGCAAACAGGAUUAGAUACCCU
rnacentral:rRNA from 1 species